rnacentral:rRNA from 1 species
GACGAACGCUGGCGGCGUGCCUAAUACAUGCAAGUUGAGCGCUGAAGGUUGGUACUUGUACCAACUGGAUGAGCAGCGAACGGGUGAGUAACGCGUGGGGAAUCUGCCUUUGAGCGGGGGACAACAUUUGGAAACGAAUGCUAAUACCGCAUAAAAACUUUAAACACAAGUUUUAAGUUUGAAAGAUGCAAUUGCAUCACUCAAAGAUGAUCCCGCGUUGUAUUAGCUAGUUGGUGAGGUAAAGGCUCACCAAGGCGAUGAUACAUAGCCGACCUGAGAGGGUGAUCGGCCACAUUGGGACUGAGACACGGCCCAAACUCCUACGGGAGGCAGCAGUAGGGAAUCUUCGGCAAUGGACGAAAGUCUGACCGAGCAACGCCGCGUGAGUGAAGAAGGUUUUCGGAUCGAAAAACUCUGUUGGUAGAGAAGAACGUUGGUGAGAGUGGAAAGCUCAUCAAGUGACGGUAACUACCCAGAAAGGGACGGCUAACUACGUG